rnacentral:rRNA from 1 species
GAUGAACGCUGGCGGCGUGCCUAAUACAUGCAAGUCGAGCGAACAGACGAGGAGCUUGCUCCUCUGACGUUAGCGGCGGACGGGUGAGUAACACGUGGAUAACCUACCUAUAAGACUGGGAUAACUUCGGGAAACCGGAGCUAAUACCGGAUAAUAUAUUGAACCGCAUGGUUCAAUAGUGAAAGACGGUUUUGCUGUCACUUAUAGAUGGAUCCGUGCCGCAUUAGCUAGUUGGUAAGGUAACGGCUUACCAAGGCAACGAUGCGUAGCCGACCUGAGAGGGUGAUCGGCCACACUGGAACUGGGACACGGUCCAGACGCCUACGGGAGGCAGCAGUAGGGAAUCUUCCGCAAUGGGCGAAAGCCUGACGGAGCAACGCCGCGUGAGUGAUGAAGGUCUUCGGAUCGUAAAACUCUGUUAUUAGGGAAGAACAAAUGUGUAAGUAACUAUGCACGUCUUGACGGUACCUAAUCAGAAAGCCACGGCUAACUACGUG